rnacentral:tRNA from 1 species
CAAGUUAGAGCUUGAAGUUAAGCUAUUUAUUUACAAUAAAUUGAUUGUUUUCGUAAAACAUAAUUUGA